UACGUAGGGCGCAAGCGUUUGUCCGGAUUUAUUGGGCGUAAAGAGCUCGUAGGCGGUUUGUCGCGUCGGAUGUGAAAACCCGGAACUCAACUCCGGGCCUGCAUUCGAUACGGGCAGACUUGAGUACUGCAGGGGAGACUGGAAUUCCUGGUGUAGCGGUGAAAUGCGUAGAUAUCAGGAGGAACACCGGUGGUGUAGACGGCUUUCUGGACCGUAACUGACGCUGAGACACGAAAGCGUGGGUAGCAAACAGG
rnacentral:rRNA from 1 species